rnacentral:siRNA from 1 species
CCAAAGUUUACGCCCAACUUC